UACGAAGGGGGCGAGCGUUGUUCGGAUUUACUGGGCGUAAAGGGUGCGUAGGUGGCGCCAUAAGUCAGGUGUGAAAUCUCGGGGCUCAACCCCGAAACUGCACUUGAUACUGUGGUGCUGGAGUACUGGAGAGGAGAUUGGAAUUUACGGUGUAGCAGUGAAAUGCGUAGAUAUCGUAAGGAAGACCAGUGGCGAAGGCGAAUCUCUGGACAGUUACUGACACUGAGGCACGAAGGCCAGGGGAGCAAACGGG
rnacentral:rRNA from 1 species